UCCAAUGGUGGGCCGAGCGGGGGCGUCGCAAGACGCGCCGGUAUCCGAAGAGGCCGGUAAGGCUAACCCUGUUCGGUUCCACCGCCAGC
rnacentral:antisense_RNA from 1 species